rnacentral:rRNA from 1 species
CCUACGGGUGGCAGCAGUGAGGAAUAUUGGUCAAUGGCCGGAAGGCUGAACCAGCCAUGCCGCGUGACGGUCAGUGCCCUAUGGGCGUUAAACUUCUUUUGUGCGGGAGCAAUAUUGUUCACGUGUGGCCAGACGAGAGUACCGUACGAAUAAGCAUCGGCUAACUCCGUGCAAGCAGCCGCGGUAAUACGGGGGAUGCAAGCGUUAUCCGGCUUUAUUGGGUGUAAAGGGUGCGGAGGCUGUGAGGUAAGUCAGCGGGGAAAUGCCCCCGCUCAACGGGGUGAAGUGCCAUUGAUACUGCCUUGCUGGAAUGCGGAUGCCGUGGGAGGAAUGUGUGGUGUAGCGGUGAAAUGCAUAGAUAUCACACAGAACACCGAUUGCGAAGGCAUCUCACGAAUCCGCGAUUGACGCUGAUGCACGAAAGCGUGGGUAUCAAACAGGAUUAGAUACCCCAGUAGUC